AGCGAACGCUGGCGGCAGGCUUAACACAUGCAAGUCGAGCGGGCAUCCUUGUGGUGUCAGCGGCAGACGGGUGAGUAAGGCGUGGGAACGUGCCCUUCGGUUCGGAAUAACUCAGGGAAACUUGAGCUAAUAGCGGAUACGUGCGAGAGCAGAAAGGUUUAUCUGCCGAAGGAUCGGCCCGCGUCUGCUUAGAUAGGUGGUUAGGUUAUGGCUCCCCAAUGGGACGGUCAGUAGCUGGUCUGAGAGGAUGGUCAGCCACACUGGGACUGAGACACGGCCCAGACUCCUACGGGAGGGAGCAGUGGGGAAUAUUGGACAAUGGGGGCAACCCUGAUCCAGCCAUGCCGCGUGAGUGAUGACGGCCUUAGGGUUGUAAAGCUCUUUUCUCCGGGACGAUAAUGACGGUACCGGAGGAAUAAGCCCCGGCUAACUUCGUG
rnacentral:rRNA from 1 species